rnacentral:rRNA from 1 species
UACGUAGGGGGCAAGCGUUGUCCGGAAUCAUUGGGCGUAAAGAGCGUGUAGGCGGCCAGAAAAGUCCGCUGUGAAAACUCGAGGCUCAACUUCGAGCUGUCGGUGGAAACUUUCUGGCUAGAGUCCGGAAGAGGAGAAUGGAAUUCCUGGUGUAGCGGUGAAAUGCGCAGAUAUCAGGAAGAACACCCGUGGCGAAAGCGGCUCUCUGGGACGGUACUGACGCUGAGACGCGAAAGCGUGGGGAGCGAACAGG